rnacentral:rRNA from 1 species
CGUGAUAGGGAUCUCGAGUGCCAGCAUACAAUGUUGGCUGUCCAGAUGCCUAAAAAGCAUCUGUUAGCAAGGGCCGGGCAAGACCGGUGCCAGCCGCCGCGGUAACACCGGCGGCCCGAGUGGUAACCGCUAUUAUUGGGUCUAAAGGGUCUGUAGCCGGCCAAGUAAGUCCCUUGGGAAAUCUGGCAGCUUAACUGUCAGGCUGCCAGGGGAUACUGUUUGGCUUGGGACCGGGAGAGGUGAGAGGUACCUCAAGGGUAGGGGUGAAAUCUUGUGAUCCUUGAGGGACCACCAGUGGCGAAGGCGUCUCACCAGAACGGGUCCGACGGUAAGGGACGAAAGCUAGGGGCACGAACCGGAUUAGAUACCCGGGUAGUCCUAGCCGUAAACGAUGCUCGCUAGGUGUCAGUCACGGUGCGACCGUGAUUGGUGCCGUAGGGAAGCCGUGAAGCGAGCCACCUGGGAAGUAUGGCCGCAAGGCUGAAACUUAAAGGAAUUGGCGGGGGGAACCACA